GGGCUCGCGGCGGCGGCGGCGGUGGGACUGGCCCUGCGCCCGGGCACCGCCUGAGCUGCGCCGCCCGGCCUGACUCCGCGGCCCGCCAGGACCCGGCCCCGGUGAACGCGCUCGGGGUGCCGAGGUCCGGCUGUGGGCCCGGGAAGCCCCCUCCACCUUGCCGUCUGUUACUGCCCCCGAGGCACAAGGCUGAGCCCUGUCUCACUAUCCGGGUCCAGAGGGGUUCACUUUAGAAGGAUUUUUUUGAAGCUCUUGGCGCUCCCGCUAAAAGAACCCACUUCCUUGCGGAUUUCAGGAGCCAAGAAUCCUUAAACGGGGCCAAUUUGCUCUGUAAAGUCAGUUGCCCAGUGACCUGAGUUCGAAAGGAGAUACUUCCUGGACAACUGCUAUAACAACAACAACAACAAAUCCUUUUAUUAAUUCGGGGAGUCUGGUCACCAACUGUAUGCUCAGAUGGAACCCUGAGCAGCCCAUGUACAUGCAAGAUCUUUAUUGCAGAGAUCUUCAAACCAGCUACUGUGCCUUUACUCCUGCCUCUCCAUGCCUCAAGAAGGAAUGAAGAGGUCUCUGCUGUCCAUUUGAGCCAGUGACUGGGCUGUCUCUACCAGGCCGGAAUUUGGGGCAGGUAAGAUUUUCAGCAUCCCUAAAAUCACACUAAGAAGAUAAACAUGGAAACAGCUUGGAGCUGGCCUACCCAUAGUGAGGUGGUACUGACUGGAAGACAGCUUAAAUGAUUUGGAGAAAAAUGGAAUACAUUGAUCUCAGAAAACUCUACCACCUGUAGAAAGAGAGCUAAAAUGGAGACAACCACAGGCAGUCUAAGAUACGCUGAACUACUACAGACAAUAAUUCAGCAAGAAGGAGUGCUGGCAGGUAUGGUGUCAGAGCAAGCUGAUGGAGGGUCCUUCAUUUCCAAGCUGUGAGUACAGCAGGCUAUCAGGCUUAGUUCGUAAGAACAUCUCCAGAAAGACAAUCUCUAUAAAAACUGCUUCAAUAGAAAGAAUGCAAGAUGUAACUGCUUCAUAAUAGGACUGAUAUUUUUAAAAACAAAUGAACGUAAUAGAAGACUAGAUGGAUGUGCUUCUCAAAGUCAUCUCUGUGGGAGGCUUCAUCCUCACUCUAGAUUUGUUGCCUGUAGUAGCUAUUAUUGAUUACCCACUCAUAGCCUAUCCAUACUUAUUCAUCUUUCCUUUAUAUACCAGUGGCAUCCUAUUGGAACCACCUGUGACUUUCUUAGGGCUUUCUCUUGGCCAAGCAUUGGAAGGCCAGCAGUAUUGAAAAGUUAAUAGUGUUGGAAGCACUGGCCCUCAACUGAUGACAAAGAAAAAAUAUAAGAUAAAUUCCCCAGCUUCUUUGCCCCUUGAAUGGGUCAAGUCUGUGGUGUGUUCUACCCGUUUUCCAGAGGUCCCAUGAUUUUAAACCCUAGCUGUUCAAGACAAUUUCCUGAUAAUUGAUGUACUCUCUGUUGGCUAAUUUUUAGAUAGUAUGGAAUAUGCUCAAAAUAUGAUACCCAAAGAAAAAAUCAAAUGCCGAAAUUGUAUACACUGAAUGAGUUCAAUUAUGUAUAAGUGUGGACGUACACACAUCAAAAGAAAUAUGGAACGAAAAAUAUUAAGUGUUUAUAGUGGUUAUUUCUGGGUGUUGAAAUUUUACGUGAUUUUCCUUUUCUUC